rnacentral:lncRNA from 1 species
AACGACCUCGUCUCUCCGAGACCUUCUGGUAUUUCAGGAGUUGCAGGGUUGCACGUUUCCUGCAUUUGUAUUUCUGUUUAUUUUAGUCUCCAGCAGGGACCAAGCACACAGCCAGUUGGGUUCCGGGGGUGGCCGUGGUUUCGUUUUGAGGAGCAGUCAGCGCCACGCCGCUUCCCCCUGCCCCGCGCGGGAGGGACGCUCCGAGCCGGGGCUCAGGGCCCCCUUCCCACCAGAGUCAUCACGCCUGCUCUGGGAAGGCCUUGGAAGAGCUGCUGGAGAAUUCCGGAAGGAGAGAAUAUUUACCAGGAGUGAGAAAAGACAAUGGAGCCGGACAUUUUAAAUGCAUUUACCCAGCCUGCUGCACUUAAUCAAUUCCUAGCUGAGAAUGUCAUCGCUCAAGGUGAGAAGAAGAAACUUAUAAAACCGACCUCAAGCAACAAUCCCAAAUUGGAAGAAUUAAAACUGGUACCAUUUAUUUUAUUAUAUCGUUUAACCCUCUCCUCAAGUUGUUUUCGCCUGUUGUGUUGAUGCUCAGCCCUGUAGGUUCCCCAGCCCUUUGGCCUCAGCCCCCCCAGGGAUGGGGGCGAGCUCUGCUUUUGGCACUUGGGCUCCACACAACUAAAC